GCCCGCUCAGAAACUCAAAGGAAUUGACGGGGGCCCGCACAAGCGGUGGAGUAUGUGGUUUAAUUCGAUGCAACGCGAAGAACCUUACCUGGUCUUGACAUCCCGGAGACCCUUAGGAAACUAGGGGGUGCUUCCAUCCGGAAGAAUCUGGAGACAGGUGCUGCAUGGCUGUCGUCAGCUCGUGUCGUGAGAUGUUGGGUUAAGUCCCGCAACGAGCGCAACCCUUGCCUUUAGUUGCCAGCAGUUCGGCUGGGCACUCUAAAGGGACUGCCGGUGUUAAACCGGAGGAAGGUGGGGAUGACGUCAAGUCCUCAUGGCCUUUAUGACCAGGGCUACACACGUACUACAAUGGCCGAUACAAAGGGCAGCGACACUGCGAGGUGAAGCCAAUCCCGUAAAAUCGGUCUCAGUCCGGAUUGGAGUCUGCAACUCGACUCCAUGAAGUUGGAAUCGCUAGUAAUCGUGGAUCAGCAUGCCACGGUGAAUACGUUCCCGGGCCUU
rnacentral:rRNA from 1 species